AGAGUUUGAUCCUGGCUCAGGACGAACGCUGGCGGCACGCUUAACACAUGCAAGUCGAACGAGAGAAGAGGAGCUUGCUUUUCUGAUCUAGUGGCGGACGGGUGAGUAACACGUGAGCAAUCUGCCUUUCAGAGGGGGAUACCGAUUGGAAACGAUCGUUAAUACCGCAUAACAUAAUUGAACCGCAUGAUUUGAUUAUCAAAGAUUUAUCGCUGAAAGAUGAGCUCGCGUCUGAUUAGCUAGUUGGUAAGGUAACGGCUUACCAAGGCGACGAUCAGUAGCCGGACUGAGAGGUUGAUCGGCCACAUUGGGACUGAGACACGGCCCAGACUCCUACGGGAGGCAGCAGUGGGGAAUAUUGCACAAUGGAGGAAACUCUGAUGCAGCGAUGCCGCGUGAGGGAAGAAGGUUUUAGGAUUGUAAACCUCUGUCUUCAGGGACGAAAAAAGACGGUACCUGAGGAGGAAGCUCCGGCUAACUACGUGCCAGCAGCCGCGGUAAUAUGUAGGGAGCGAGCGUUGUCCGGAAUUACUGGGUGUAAAGGGAGCGUAGGCGGGAUCGCAAGUCAGAUGUGAAAACUAUGGGCUUAACCCAUAAACUGCAUUUGAAACUGUGGUUCUUGAGUGAAGUAGAGGUAAGCGGAAUUCCUAGUGUAGCGGUGAAAUGCGUAGAUAUUAGGAGGAACAUCAGUGGCGAAGGCGGCUUACUGGGCUUUAACUGACGCUGAGGCUCGAAAGCGUGGGGAGCAAACAGGAUUAGAUACCCUGGUAGUCCACGCCGUAAACGAUGAUUACUAGGUGUGGGGGGACUGACCCCUUCCGUGCCGCAGCAAACGCAAUAAGUAAUCCACCUGGGGAGUACGACCGCAAGGUUGAAACUCAAAGGAAUUGACGGGGGCCCGCACAAGCAGUGGAGUAUGUGGAUUAAUUCGAAGCAACGCGAAGAACCUUACCAGGUCUUGACAUCGUAUGCAUAGCUCAGAGAUGAGUGAAAUCUCUUCGGAGACAUAUAGACAGGUGGUGCAUGGUUGUCGUCAGCUCGUGUCGUGAGAUGUUGGGUUAAGUCCCGCAACGAGCGCAACCCUUACUGUUAGUUGCUACGCAAGAGCACUCUAGCAGGACUGCCGUUGACAAAACGGAGGAAGGUGGGGAUGACGUCAAAUCAUCAUGCCCCUUAUGACCUGGGCCUCACACGUACUACAAUGGCUGUCAACAGAGGGAAGCAAAGCCGCGAGGUGGAGCGAACCCCUAAAAGCAGUCUUAGUUCGGAUUGUAGGCUGCAACCCGCCUACAUGAAGUCGGAAUUGCUAGUAAUCGCAGAUCAGCAUGCUGCGGUGAAUACGUUCCCGGGCCUUGUGCACACCGCCCGUCACGCCAUGGGAGUCGGUAACACCCGAAGCCUGUAGUCUAACCGCAAGGAGGACGCAGUCGAAGGUGGGAUUGAUGACUGGGGUGAAGUCGUAACAAGGUA
rnacentral:rRNA from 1 species